rnacentral:rRNA from 1 species
GUCUACGACCAUGCCACCCUGAACACGCCCGAUCCCAUCUGAUCUCAGAAGCUAAGCCGGGUUGGGCCUAGUUAGUACUUGGAUGGGAGACCAACUAGGAAUAUCGGGUGCUGUAAGCG